UACGUAGGGCGCAAGCGUUAUCCGGAAUUAUUGGGCGUAAAGAGCUCGUAGGCGGUUUGUCGCGUCUGCCGUGAAAGUCCGGGGCUCAACUCCGGAUCUGCGGUGGGUACGGGCAGACUAGAGUGAUGUAGGGGAGACUGGAAUUCCUGGUGUAGCGGUGGAAUGCGCAGAUAUCAGGAGGAACACCGGUGGCGAAGGCGGGUCUCUGGGCCGUAACUGACGCUGAGGCGCGAAAGCCAGGGGAGCAAACGGG
rnacentral:rRNA from 1 species